CCCGGCAUCCCGCACCCCGCGUGCCAGCGACCGGAAAUGUAACUACGGCCAUGAUGUUUUGUUUAUCUUUUGUCUUUUUACUAUUUUACUGUUUUAUUAGGACUUAGGAUUAAGGAAUUUAGAAUUUAGGGCACUCCCAAGCCCAAUCGGUUUUUGGUUGUGUUUUUACUUUUUGUGUAGAAUGGCGUGAUUAGAAUGCUACUGGUGAGAAGAUACAUAAUAUAAUAAGCUGGUUAAAAGUGAAAAUAUUACAUCUGCAGAUAUAUUCUCCCAAGACAUUCUACAAGCAGACAUUUUUUUAGCAUUAUAAAAAGAUAUGGAAAGCGAGAAAAAUAGGAAAAAACGGUAGAGGACAACCAAGAAAAACAUGGAACAGUAGCAUAAACGAGAUUCUCAAAGAAAUAAGGAAGACAUGGAGUGAGACGAAGGAACUAGCUAGAGACAAAAAAGCAUGGUGUACAUUUGUAGAAAAAAUCAAGAGGGCUUGUACACCUCGACACCUAUAGUUAUAAGCAGUUUUCGAUUAUGUAUGU
rnacentral:lncRNA from 1 species